rnacentral:rRNA from 1 species
CACGUAGGGGGCAAGCGUUGUCCGGAUUUAUUGGGCGUAAAGAGCGUGUAGGCGGCCGUACAGGUCAGCUGUGAAAACUCGAGGCUCAACCUCGAGACGUCGGUUGAAACCGUACGGCUAGAGUCCGGAAGAGGAGAGUGGAAUUCCCGGUGUAGCGGUGAAAUGCGCAGAUAUCGGGAAGAACACCCGUGGCGAAGGCGGCUCUCUGGGACGGUACUGACGCUGAGGCGCGAAAGCGUGGGGAGCGAACAGG